UAAUUAUUUAAUGUUCCUCGUGUUCUGAUGUACAAGGACAAUAUAAAAACAUAAACACAUUGGUUGAAAGUAAGAAGAAAUUUCUUCUGGCUCUGCAGAAUCUUCUCCCUCGGAAUUUCAAAAUGUUUUUAAAUUUGAUCCUCAAGCUACAGUAUUCUUCAUGAUUUUUUGUAAGUGCUGCCACAACACAGCAGCAUUAUGGCCCCAGACCAGAGAGUGAAGAAAGACAUCUUGAGAACAAAGGUGCAACAUCUACAUGCAAAGAAUCAAAAUAACAAAGUAUAAAAUCCUGAGAUCUGGCCCAUUAAAGGACUUGGAUCAGGCAUUAGAGAGAAGAAAAAAGAGAGCAGAGCAGGAUAACCGUGCUUUACACUACUAUAAAGAGCAGAAAAGAACAAGUUUGGGACAAUUUUCAUGAUAAAACAUUAAAAAAAAAAAAAGAGGCAUGGAUAUGAUGAGACAGUGUGACCAUGGCUGCCUCUUAGAAAGUGAUAAAUAUCUGCUGAAUGAAUGUGUUCUGCAAAUUAUCUGCUAGCAGAGCGCAAAAAUACAUACAGUGACCACCCAGCCACCUCUACUCCCAGGACGUUUCCUAUAUAGCGCUUCCCCAAUUUGGAGUGUUCCUCCUUGCUUUCUCCCCAGUGGCAAAACACUUCUCACUUCGUGCUUGAAUUCCUAAAGAAUGGCAAAAGUCCUGAGUAAGGUGUAUCUUGGAAGCAUUUUGGUCCAAUUGACUAGGAAGAUUGGUUAAAAAUUACACUGCUGUAACCCAUCUCCCUGGAGCUAUUAGCCAUCACCUACUUCUGUGCCUGUCCUUGGUAUGGUGAUGGAUUUGUCAGGCAGCUCUCCUGUCAUCCCAUGACACAAAAUGUGGGAAUAUCCAUUGCUAUUAACAAGGUACUAAAGUGCUCUUGGGGCGUUCAUGGCUGCAUGGUUUUAUGGAUCCUCCUAAUCUACCAGCCAUUACUUUUAAGUGGUCCAUGAACUGGACAACAUAUGCAGAAAAGACAAAAG